rfam:Trichobilharzia regenti genome assembly, scaffold: TRE_scaffold0009417
AUCCGGGUGACGAGUCCAAAAUAGGACGAAAUGCGCUUUACCCUGGAU